AGUUUGAUCCUGGCUCAGGAUGAACGCUAGCUACAGGCUUAACACAUGCAAGUCGAGGGGCAGCAUGGUCUUAGCUUGCUAAGGCCGAUGGCGACCGGCGCACGGGUGAGUAACGCGUAUCCAACCUGCCUUACACUCUUGGACAGCCUUCUGAAAGGGAGAUUAAUACAAGAUGUUAUCAUGAGUAAGCAUUUUCGCAUGAUUAAAGGUUUACCGGUGUAAGAUGGGGAUGCGUUCCAUUAGAUAGUAGGCGGGGUAACGGCCCACCUAGUCUUCGAUGGAUAGGGGUUCUGAGAGGAAGGUCCCCCACAUUGGAACUGAGACACGGUCCGAACUCCUACGGGAGGCAGCAGUGAGGAAUAUUGGUCAAUGGACGAGAGUCUGAACCAGCCAAGUAGCGUGAAGGAUGAAGGUUCUAUGGAUUGUAAACUUCUUUUAUACGGGAAUAAACGGAUCCACGUGUGGAUUUUUGCAUGUACCGUAUGAAUAAGGAUCGGCUAACUCCGUGCCAGCAGCCGCGGUAAUACGGAGGAUCCGAGCGUUAUCCGGAUUUAUUGGGUUUAAAGGGAGCGUAGAUGGGUUGUUAAGUCAGUUGUGAAAGUUUGCGGCUCAACCGUAAAAUUGCAAUUGAUACUGGCAGUCUUGAGUACAGUUGAGGUAGGCGGAAUUCGUGGUGUAGCGGUGAAAUGCUUAGAUAUCACGAAGAACUCCGACUGCGAAGGCAGCUUACUAACCUGUAACUGACAUUGAUGCUCGAAAGUGUGGGUAUCAAACAGGAUUAGAUACCCUGGUAGUCCACACGGUAAACGAUGAAUACUCGCUGUGGGCGAUAUACGGUCUGCGGCCAAGCGAAAGCAUUAAGUAUUCCACCUGGGGAGUACGCCGGCAACGGUGAAACUCAAAGGAAUUGACGGGGGCCCGCACAAGCGGAGGAACAUGUGGUUUAAUUCGAUGAUACGCGAGGAACCUUACCCGGGCUUAAAUUGCAACCGAAUAUGGCGGAAACGCUAUAGCUAGCAAUAGCGGUUGUGAAGGUGCUGCAUGGUUGUCGUCAGCUCGUGCCGUGAGGUGUCGGCUUAAGUGCCAUAACGAGCGCAACCCUUGCCGAUAGUUACUAACAGGUCAUGCUGAGGACUCUGUCGGGACUGCCAUCGUAAGAUGUGAGGAAGGUGGA
rnacentral:rRNA from 1 species